rnacentral:rRNA from 1 species
GAAGCCUGAUGCAGCAACGCCGCGUGAGGGAUGACGGCCUUCGGGUUGUAAACCUCUUUCAGCGGGGACGAAGGCGUGAGUGACGGUACCCGCAGAAGAAGCGCC